ACGAACGCUGGCGGCGUGCUUAACCCAUGCCAGUCGAACGGAAAGGCCCUGCUUUUGUGGGGUGCUCGAGUGGCGAACGGGUGAUUAACACGUGAGUAACCUGCCCUUGACUUUGGGAUAACUUCAGGAAACUGGGGCUAAUACCGGAUAGGAGCUCCUGCUGCAUGGUGGGGGUUGGAAAGUUUCGGCGGUUGGGGAUGGACUCGCGGCUUAUCAGCUUGUUGGUGGGGUAGUGGCUUACCAAGGCUUUGACGGGUAGCCGGCCUGAGAGGGUGACCGGCCACAAUGGGACUGAGAUACGGCCCAGACUCGUACGGGAGGCAGCAGGGGGGAAUAUUGCACAAUGGGCGGAAGCCUGAUGCAGAAACGCCGCGUGCGGGAUGACGGCCUUCGGGUUGUAAACAGCUUUCGCAUGUGACGAAGCGUGAGUGACGGUAAUGGGUAAAGAAGCACCGGCUAACUACGUG
rnacentral:rRNA from 1 species